GAUGAACGCUGGCGGUAUGCCUAACACAUGCAAGUCGUACGAGAGUUUUUAACUCUAGUGGCGGACGGGUGAGUAACACGUGAGAAUUUGCCUUUAGGAGGGGGAUAACAAUUGGAAACGAAUGCUAAUACCCCAUAUGCUUUUGAGUGAAAUGGAUUUUAUCCGCCUAGAGAGAAGCUCGCGGCUGAUUAGCUUGUUGGUAAGGUAAGAGCUUACCAAGGCGACGAUCAGUAUCUGGUUUGAGAGGACGAUCAGACACACUGGAACUGAGACACGGUCCAGACUCCUACGGGAGGCAGCAGUGGGGAAUUUCCGCAAUGGGCGAAAGCCUGACGGAGCAAUACCGCGUGAGGGAAGAAUGCCUAUGGGUUGUAAAGCUCUUUUACCCGAGAUGAUAAUGACAGUAUCGGGAGAAUAAGCUCCGGCUAACUCCGUG
rnacentral:rRNA from 1 species